CUGGAUUUGACUAUCUUCUUUGUUCCAGGAAGAUGCAGCAAAAGUAAAUUUCUUGACUUCAACUUAAAUUCCACUUUCACACUAUUGUACAUCAUUUCCUAAAUUUCUUGUCUUGUGUCUAGUUUGAGGUGUAGAUGUACAUAUGGUUGCUUUGCUCCCCAGUAGUUCUAAAAUAUGUCUAGGUAUAUAUGUAUACUUUAGGAAGCAUAUACAUACCAUUUUACAUAUGUGAUCUGGUAUAGCAAUAUUGCCCCAGCCACUAGUACUAGUCACUGUAUCUGCAGUCCCACAUGAAGCAGGCCAUGACCAAAGGCAUAAAACUCGAUUGGUUAGUGGUCGUUCAUUAUCGAAUUAUUACAAACUCUCCUUUCGUAGUGCUGAGCCUCUGACUAUUAAGUCGGGUGAUUGUGACCAGUCAUGUUCUUCUUAUCAAAUUGUUUAUUUCGAUCCAGUUUGAAAAGGGCUGCGGCAUUGUCCAUCGUACACUUUCUUAUCUCAAUUUAUGGCUCUGUUUGGAUUGUACAUUGAUGCUGCUCUAGAGAGAAACCUUAUCUAUGUACAAGCUGGAAAUUAGCAGAGCCAGAUUCAUUUCUUCAUUUGUUAUAAAAAAUAAAUGUUGAAAUCCAUUUGAGAUGGAUUGCAUUAUGCUUAAUGGAAAUAUAGAUUGUUUUUAAGUAAAUCUGGAGUCCAGCCUAAUAGCUUUUCUUUUCAUCCAGAGACUGGGAAACAGUUCUAUUGAAUCAUCCAAUUUUAUUGGAGCCAGAUGAUUUGCUUGUUAGUAUUGAAGAACUUGAAACUUUUAUGUGGGGCAAGGAUUGGUUGCAAACUAGAUUUGCAAAUGUACUUUAUGUGAAAAUGCCUAGGUACCGAGAAAACUUCAAUAUUUUAUUGACCGAACCGUGUCCUCGUUAGAGUCUUGGCAAAGAGUAAACCCCUCUCUAUCAUCUAUUUGGCCAUCAUUCAGUUCUCAAGGAACAUGCAUCUCCACGCAUAUGAUCACAGCAAUGAGGUAUACACUUUGCAGUUUAUAUGACAGCUACAAUGGCUUGUUCUUUACUUCCUUCAUCCAAAAAGAUGGCUUGUUCUAAUGCCCUACAUUAUGUGCUUUCAGAUUUGGGACUCUUCACGAAUGGUUCAGGAAAUAAAUAAACUGUUUCCUGGCUUUAUGAGUAUGGUCUACUCAGUAAGACAUGCGACGAACACUGACUGGAACGACUUGCUCGAUCAUCAUCCAGAAACAAAGAAGUUUGUUCGUUCUUUCUAUCGUUAGCAUGUGUAAGCCCUGAUUUGCUUUAAAUAUAAUGGCUGUGCUUUCUUGAAGAAUGGGCUGCUCAGAAGUUUGUCUGAAUAUCUAUUCCUGAAAUUAAUAGGGCGGCCACCGAGAAGUGCGGAUGACAAGAAAGAUGGCUCUUUUAUGAUUAUAUUGUUUGCAGGGGCAGUCAACUUAAGUUUAUGUCUGUAUUCUUCAAUUUGUCUGAUGCACUUACCGUAGCAGUUGUAUCAGAAUUCAGAACCUAUCAUUUGUGUAGGUCAUUUAGAUGUCGUUUGCAAUCGCAGUGAACUUAAGUUUCUUCGAUGUGGUCUAAUCUACUUAUUACCAUAGCUGUUAUAUGAUUAUAUCAGAACCUGUUGUUUGUGUUAGACAUUUAUAUAACGUUUUCAGUUGUAUGCAAUGAACUUAAAGUUUGUUCAAUGUGGUCUGAUCUACUUAUCGUAGCUGUUGUAUGAGAACCUG
rnacentral:lncRNA from 1 species